rnacentral:rRNA from 1 species
AUUGAACACUGGCGGCAGGCUUAACACAUGCAAGUCGAGCGGGGUGAUGGUGCUUGCACUAUCACUUAGCGGCGGACGGGUGAGUGAUGCUUAGGAAUCUGCCUAUUAGUGGGGGACAACAUCUCGAAAGGGAUGCUAAUACCGCAUACGUCCUACGAGAGAAAGCAGGGGAUCACUUGUGACCUUGCGCUAAUAGAUCAGCCUAAGUCGGAUUAGCUAGUUGGUGGGGUAAAGGCCUACCAAGGCGACGAGCUGUAGCGGGUCUGAGAGGAUGAUCCGCCACACUGGGACUGAGAAACGGCCCAGACUCCUACGGGAGGCAGCAGUGGGGAAUAUUGGACAAUGGGGGGAACCCUGAUACAGCCAUGCCGCGUGUGUGAAGAAGGCCUUAUGGUUGUAAAGCACUUUAAGCGAGGAGGAGGCUCUUUUGGUUAAUACCCAAGAUGAGUGGACGUUACUCGCAGAAUAAGCACCGGCUAACUCUGUGCCAGCCGCCGCCGUAAAAC